ACACCUCCACACACCACACGAACGAAAACUGUUGCAUUAAUAGUGACGUCAUAACGUGCAAACUAAGCGCUAACGUAUUAUUUUGAAUGACGUCGUCACCUUGACAACAUAUAUCAUUUGCGCUUUGCCAUGAUUGAACGCGUAUUAUUUUUUGUUUUACAUAAUUAUAUAAAUAAUUGAAGAAAUGCAUAAGAAAUGUAAAAGUAGGCGACGCAGAAUCAGAAGGGGGAGGAAACCGGGUCGAGAAAGGCGCCGACAGGAUAUUAACGACAUGGUGCAGCUCGCAGUGAACAAAAACGGACUAGCUAUAGAGAUGGAAUAUCAGAUUGCUUAUGAGCCUGUCACAUACGAGCCAGACGUUAUCACGUCCAACGCGUUGAGGUAGAGCUUUGACAAGAUAAACGCUUGAUGCACACCAGGGACAUGAUAAGGUCUUCCAGGACAUUGGCGAAUUUAAGCACACUCAGCGACUUGUAAUUGACAAUGCUUUGGCAGGUUUGUGUAUGCGUUUUUAUUUGUAUUGGCUAGACAUAAAGACAUAAAAACAAACGUUUGCUUA